UUAGAGGAAGUAAAAGUCGUAACAAGGUCUCCGUUGGUGAACCAGCGGAGGGAUCAUUACUGAGUUUACGCUCUACAACCCUUUGUGAACAUACCUACAACUGUUGCUUCGGCGGGUAGGGUCUCCGCGACCCUCCCGGCCUCCCGCCUCCGGGCGGGUCGGCGCCCGCCGGAGGAUAACCAAACUCUGAUUUAACGACGUUUCUUCUGAGUGGUACAAGCAAAUAAUCAAAACUUUUAACAACGGAUCUCUUGGUUCUGGCAUCGAUGAAGAACGCAGCGAAAUGCGAUAAGUAAUGUGAAUUGCAGAAUUCAGUGAAUCAUCGAAUCUUUGAACGCACAUUGCGCCCGCCAGCAUUCUGGCGGGCAUGCCUGUUCGAGCGUCAUUUCAACCCUCAAGCUCUGCUUGGUGUUGGGGCCCUACAGCCGAUGUAGGCCCUCAAAGGUAGUGGCGGACCCUCCCGGAGCCUCCUUUGCGUAGUAACUUUACGUCUCGCACUGGGAUCCGGAGGGACUCUUGCCGUAAAACCCCCCAAUUUUCCAAAGGUUGACCUCGGAUCAGGUAGGAAUACCCGCUGAACUUAAGCAUAUCAAUAA
rnacentral:rRNA from 1 species